UACAGAGGUCUCAAGCGUUUGUUUCGGAAUUAUUGGGCGUAAAGAGCUCGUAGGCGGCUUGUCGCGUCGGAUGUGAAAGCCCGGGGCUUAACUCCGGGUCUGCAUUCGAUACGGGCAGGCUAGAGUUCGGUAGGGGAGGAUCGGAUUCCUGGUGUAGCGGUGAAAUGCGCAGAUAUCAGGAGGAACACCGGUGGCGAAGGCGGAUCUCUGGGCCGAUACUGACGCUGAGGAGCGAAAGCGUGGGGAGCAACAGG
rnacentral:rRNA from 1 species